GCUGCGGUAGCUCAGUGGUAGAGCGGAGGAUUGCAGCUACAAGGCACCAUAUCCUCAGGUCCUGUGUUCGAACCACAGUCGCAGCU
rfam:Blumeria graminis f. sp. tritici 96224 unplaced genomic scaffold Scaffold-33, whole genome shotgun sequence.